rnacentral:rRNA from 1 species
AAAAACAUUUCUUAUAAAAUUUUUAUAAGUAUAAUCUGCUCAAUGAAUUUUAAAUAGCCGCAGAUUUUACUGUGUUAAGGUAGCAUAAUCACUUACCUUUUAAUUAAAGGUUUGUAUGAAAGAUUAAACAAUUAAAUUUCUUUUUUAUUAAUUCUCAUUAAAACUAAAUUAAAAAUAAAAAUGUUUUUAUACAAAAAAUAGACGAUAAGACCCUAUUGAACUUUACUUCAGUUUAGCUGGGGAAGCUCAUUAAAUAUAAUUUUAAUAUUUAUAACAUAAAUUUCUAACAUAAUUAAAUCAAAUAAGUUACCAUAGGGAUAACAGCAUAAUAUAAUUUUAAAGCUCAUAUUAAAAAUUAUGAUUGUGACCUCGAUGUUGAAUU